rnacentral:rRNA from 1 species
UUUUUGUGGUUGACCUCGGAUCAGGUAGGAAUACCCGCUGAACUUAAGCAUAUCA